GAUGAACGCUGGCGGCGUGCCUAAUACAUGCAAGUCGAGCGAACAGACGAGGAGCUUGCUCCUCUGACGUUAGCGGCGGACGGGUGAGUAACACGUGGAUAACCUACCUAUAAGACUGGGAUAACUUCGGGAAACCGGAGCUAAUACCGGAUAAUAUAUUGAACCGCAUGGUUCAAUAGUGAAAGACGGUUUUGCUGUCACUUAUAGAUGGAUCCGCGCCGCAUUAGCUAGUUGGUAAGGUAAAGGCUUACCAAGGCAACGAUGCGUAGCCGACCUGAUAGGGUGAUCGGCCACACUGGAGCUGAGACACGGUCCAGACUCCUACGGGAGGCACCAGUAGGGAAUCUUCCGCAAUGGGCGAAAGCCUGACGGAGCAACGCCGCGUGAGUGAUGAAGGUCUUCGGAUCGUAAAACUCUGUUAUUAGGGAAGAACAAAUGUGUAAGUAACUAUGCACGUCUUGACGGUACCUAAUCAGAAAGCCACGGCUAACUACGUG
rnacentral:rRNA from 1 species